rnacentral:rRNA from 1 species
UACGUAGGGGGCUAGCGUUGUCCGGAAUCAUUGGGCGUAAAGCGCGUGUAGGCGGUCCGGUAAGUCCGCUGUGAAAGUCGGGGGCUCAACCCUCGAAUGCCGGUGGAUACUGUCGGGCUAGAGUGCGGAAGAGGCGAGUGGAAUUCCUGGUGUAGCGGUGAAAUGCGCAGAUAUCAGGAGGAACACCAAUUGCGAAGGCAGCUCGCUGGGACGUCACUGACGCUGGAGACGCGAAAGCGUGGGGAGCAAACAGG